CUAGAUUACAAGCCCUGGAAACGGGGUCUAAUACCGGAUAUGACUCCGCAUCGCAUGGUGUGGGGUGGAAAGCCUUGUGCGGCUGAGGAUGGGCCCGCGGCCUAUCAGCUUGUUGGUGGGGUAGUGGCCUACCAAGGCGACGACGGGUAGCCGGCCUGAGAGGGCGACCGGCCACACUGGGACUGAGACACGGCCCAGACUCCUACGGGAGGCAGCAGUGGGGAAUAUUGCGCAAUGGGCGAAAGCCUGACGCAGCGACGCCGCGUGAGGGAUGACGGCCUUCGGGUUGUAAACCUCUUUCAGCUCCGACGAAGCCUUCGGGUGACGGUAGGGGCAGAAGAAGCACCGGCCAACUACGUGCCAGCAGCCGCGGUAAUACGUAGGGUGCAAGCGUUGUCCGGAAUUAUUGGGCGUAAAGAGCUCGUAGGCGGUUUGUCGCGUCGACUGUGAAAACUCAGGGGCUCAACUCCGAGCUUGCAGUUGAUACGGGCAGACUAGAGUUCGGCAGGGGAGACUGGAAUUCCUGGUGUAGCGGUGAAAUGCGCAGAUAUCAGGAGGAACACCGGUGGCGAAGGCGGGUCUCUGGGCCGAUACUGACGCUGAGGAGCGAAAGCGUGGGGAGCAAACAGG
rnacentral:rRNA from 1 species